UACGUAGGGUGCGAGCGUUGUCCGGAAUUAUUGGGCGUAAAGGGCUCGUAGGCGGUCUGUCGCGUCGGGAGUGAAAACUCAGGGCUUAACCCUGAGCCUGCUUCCGAUACGGGCAGACUAGAGGUAUGCAGGGGAGAACGGAAUUCCUGGUGUAGCGGUGAAAUGCGCAGAUAUCAGGAGGAACACCGGUGGCGAAGGCGGUUCUCUGGGCAGUAACUGACGCUGAGGAGCGAAAGCGUGGGGAGCGAACAGG
rnacentral:rRNA from 1 species